CUACGGGCGGCACCAGUGGGGAAUAUUGCACAAUGGGCGCAAGCCUGAUGCAGCCAUGCCGCGUGUAUGAAGAAGGCCUUCGGGUUGUAAAGUACUUUCAGCGGGGAGGAAGGGAGUAAAGUUAAUACCUUUGCUCAUUGACGUUACCCGCAGAAGAAGCACCGGCUAACUCCGUGCCAGCAGCCGCGGUAAUACGGAGGGUGCAAGCGUUAAUCGGAAUUACUGGGCGUAAAGCGCACGCAGGCGGUUUGUUAAGUCAGAUGUGAAAUCCCCGGGCUCAACCUGGGAACUGCAUCUGAUACUGGCAAGCUCGAGUCUCAUAGAGGGGGGUAGAAUUCCAGGUGUAGCGGUGAAAUGCGUAGAGAUCUGGAGGAAUACCGGUGGCGAAGGCGGCCCCCUGGACGAAGACUGACGCUCAGGUGCGAAAGCGUGGGGAGCAAACAGGAUUAGAUACCCGAGUAGUC
rnacentral:rRNA from 1 species